CUAGUUGGUGAGGUAACGGCUCACCAAGGCAACGAUGCGUAGCCGACCUGAGAGGGUGAUCGGCCACACUGGGACUGAGACACGGCCCAGACUCCUACGGGAGGCAGCAGUAGGGAAUCUUCCGCAAUGGACGAAAGUCUGACGGAGCAACGCCGCGUGAGUGAUGAAGGCUUUCGGGUCGUAAAACUCUGUUGUUAGGGAAGA
rnacentral:rRNA from 1 species